UUAUCCUAUAAAAAAAUUCCUUGUAUAAGAUCAGUAAAAAGAUCGGUCUGAUUGUCUCUACCUGGCGGCCGAAAAUUGCCAGACUACAGGGAAGUGUGUUGUACAU
rnacentral:ncRNA from 2 species